AGGAAGGGUAGUGUAGUUAACACCUGCAUAUUUGAGUUACCUACAGAAGAAGCACCGGCUAACUCCGUGCCAGCAGCCGCGGUAAUACGGAGGGUGCGAGCGUUAAUCGGAAUUACUGGGCGUAAAGCGCAUGCAGGCGGCCUGUUAAGUCAGAUGUGAAAGCCCGGGGCGUUAACCUCGGAAUUGCAUUUGAAACUGGCAGGCUAGAGUCUUGUAGAGGGGGGUAGGAAUUUCAGGUGUAGCGGUGAAAUGCGUAGAGAUCUGAAGGAAUACCAGUGGCGAAGGCGGCCCCCUGGACAAAGACUGACGCUCAGAUGCGAAAAGCGUGGGGAGCAAACAGGAUUAGAUACCCCUGGUAG
rnacentral:rRNA from 1 species